AUUGAACGCUGGCGGCAGGCCUAACACAUGCAAGUCGAGCGGAUGAAGGGAGCUUGCUCCUGGAUUCAGCGGCGGACGGGUGAGUAAUGCCUAGGAAUCUGCCUGGUAGUGGGGGAUAACGUCCGGAGACGGGCGCUAAUACCGCAUACGUCCUGAGGGAGAAAGUGGGGGAUCUUCGGACCUCACGCUAUCAGAUGAGCCUAGGUCGGAUUAGCUAGUUGGUGGGGUAAAGGCCUACCAAGGCGACGAUCCGUAACUGGUCUGAGAGGAUGAUCAGUCACACUGGAACUGAGACACGGUCCAGACUCCUACGGGAGGCAGCAGUGGGGAAUAUUGGACAAUGGGCGAAAGCCUGAUCCAGCCAUGCCGCGUGUGUGAAGAAGGUCUUCGGAUUGUAAAGCACUUUAAGUUGGGUGGAAGGGCAGUAAGUUAAUACCUUGCUGUUUUGACGUUACCAACAGAAUAAGCACCGGCUAACUUCGUG
rnacentral:rRNA from 1 species